UACGUAGGGGCGUAGCGUUAUCCGGAAUUACUGGGCGUAAAGGGUGCGUAGGUGGUUUCUUAAGUCAGAGGUGAAAGGCUACGGCUCAACCGUAGUAAGCCUUUGAAACUGGGAAACUUGAGUGCAGGAGAGGAGAGUGGAAUUCCUAGUGUAGCGGUGAAAUGCGUAGAGAUUAGGAAGAACACCAGUGGCGAAGGCGAUUCUCUGGACUGUAACUGACGCUGAGGCUCGAAAGCGUGGGGAGCAAACAGGAUUAGAUACCCGCGUAGUCCCUGAG
rnacentral:rRNA from 1 species